ensembl:snoRNA LOC120097623 small nucleolar RNA SNORA17
ACUGCCCCCAUAGAGGCACUGCAAGCCUGUCUGCUGUGUCUCAAGUGCAUUAGUAGGUGGCAGAGAAGAGACAGACUAUGUUUGACCUCUGAACAUCUGAAUAAUUAGGAAGCUAAACUAACAUU